AGUAAGAAUGAAAGACAAAAAAUACUGUAAACGGCUGUUACCUGUGCUGACAGGAUUAAAAGUUAAGUAAUCCGUACUUUUCGCGUUGUAGCUUAUAUGAUAAACUAAUUGGAAGGGUAACAAAUUUGGAGGCACCGCUGAGAUGUAUUUUCAUGUGAGCACCGGCCCAUAUUCCUGGAACGGACAACGAGUGAGAGACAUUGGGAGAGUAGCUAGCUAGCUAACGUUAGCAGGCUAACCACCUAACGGAGUGUAGUUAUCUUGCCAUUGCCUGCAUUGUCGUUGUUGGUACGUGAAUAGGACAAUAUGAGUCGAGAGUGGGAAACGUUGUUGGAUGAAAUCGAAGAGUUUAUGGACUUUAACUGAGGACAAUUUACAGCACUUGUGUGUAGUUGUGGAAUAGGAGGUGUAGAUGACUGAAGUAAAAGGAAAGAUUGAUAGAAGAUUACUGUGAGAAGGAGUAUUUAAUGGAAUCAGAGGAUGAGGGAAUGUCUUGGCUGCUUCAACUGAAAGACGAAAUCAAAGGAAUAUCGGACUCUGAGGAUACUGUGAAAAGUCUGCCAACAAGUCCCAUCCAGUCGGCGCCAACGAGGCAAGUGGACAGCAAUAUGGAACGCCGUUUGAGUCUUUGGUGUCAAAAAGAUACACGUCAAAUAACACUAUUUGAAGUGUCAAAUAACACUCUUUGACACUUCAAAUAAGCUUCUUUACCAAUCAGGACCAGGUCUCCACGACACAUCAUAAUUUAACACGUUCGUUAAUUUUGUACGUAGUUAUUACACAUGGAUUACACUCUCACUCGUAUUUCAUAUGUCACAACGAUUCACCGGUACGUAUGCUUUGAGUCAUAGAUUUUGUCACUGUUGAUCACAUUUACCUAAAGGUCGUUUGGACUCCGCCCAAGUCUCAUGUACUGAGGAAAGAGGUUCACUCAACUUCUGUUCUUCCGAUGUAAAAUUAGCUAGCUUGUUAACAAUAGCAGCCCAAUUUCUCAAAAACUGUAAAUCUACCAUCUCUGAUUGCACCAGACUGCUGCUCACGGACAGAAGAGAUGGACUUCAACGACCAAUAUCCAGAUAAAGGAACAGGAGAAAUCAUACCAGGAUUACGCUAAGAAGUGGCAGCAACAGAUGGCUGAAGCCUUUGACAUCGCCAGUAGAAACAUGGAGAAAUCAACAGCAAAGGGAAAAGCCUACUACGAUCGGAAGAAAAUGAGUUGGGUUCUGGUCUCAGGGGAUCGUGUACCGGUGAGGAAAAUGUCAGAACGUGGGGGGCCGGGAAAGCUAAGAUCACACUGGGAGGACCAAAUACAUGUGGUGGUAACCAGGAAAUGUGAUGACAGCCCUGUCUAUGAGGUCAAACCCAAGAGGGGUACAGGCAGGGCCCGGGUUCUGCAUCGCAUUAUGCUCAUGUCAUGUAAUUCCCUACCAUUUGAGGAACCUGUUGAAACACCCAGUAGAGGUCUGUGGAGAAGGGAACCACCCCAGAAAAAUCAGCAAAAUGGGGAGAGCGCUGAGUCUGAGAGCUCAGAUGAGGAUUCUUAUCCAGUAUUCAUCAAUAGGCCACGUAGGGGUGAAGAGAGCAGACAGAGUAGCACACAACUAGUAUCAGAUAAUAGUGAGGAACGGGGUCAGACUGAUAGAAACUUCACUGUGAAGGAGUGCCAGCCAGUCCUCAGAGAGAGCCUGGAGAGGACCGGGGUAAAUAUGGAAACAGCUAAGGGCUCAGAGACUCAGUCAUCUCAUGAUGAAGUGGACACUGAUUCAUUGGGGUCACCCAUGACCUUGCCCCGCCAUUCGGCCCGGCAGAGGAGGCCCAGAGACAUUCUAACCUAUAACACUUUAGGGCUGCCAAGCUCUUAUCAGGAUACCAACUAGAGAUGUUCUGAUGUGUAUAUAUUUUCUCGUUUACCUUUACUAAUCACAGUGUGAUAAUGUUUAGUGGGGGUUUCGUCUUUGCACAUAAAGGCAGACUGGACAUGUCUAGAUAGUUAUGUGGCUGUUAGGCCAGUUUUCUCCGUUGUUCUCAUGACCAGUACUUACAUCUUCUGUUUGUUUUGAAGCCAGUGAAAUGUUUGGGGGUGUUGUAAGGGGCUUAGUACAUAUGUAUUUCAGCCACUAGGGGGUACUCUGGUGAAGAAAUAUAGUUUAAGUGAAUUGGGAAGAGUAAGAAUGAAAAACUAAAGAAAGACUGUAAAUGGCUGUUACCUUUGCUGACAUGAUUAAAAGUGCAGUAAACCGUA